rnacentral:lncRNA from 1 species
AGAGUGGUUCAAGGGGAAGACAGUCUGCAGAAGAGGUGAGAGUGCUGGGGCAUAGCUCAUAGAGAAAUAGUCUUCAUCUCAUUCUCUGUGCUCACCAACGUACAGAAAAGUAUGUCCAUAUGUGGACCUGUAAGGUGUGUCCAUAUGUGGACCUGUAAGGUAUGUCCGUCCAUAUGUGUACCUGUAAGGUAUGUCCAUAUGUGUACCUGUAAGGUGUGUCCAUAUGUGUACCUGUAAGGUGUGUCCAUAUGUGUACCUGUAAGGUGUGUCCAUAUGUGUACCUGUAAGGUAUGCCAUCAUAUGUAUACCUGUAAGGUAUGUCCAUAUGUGGACCUGUAAGGUAUGUCCAUCUUCUCAAGUUUAUUAUGGAAACACUGCGGCGAUGUGUGCAGUAACAUCAUCUUACAGGAGGGAACCAGUUCUGUUCAAAACAACUCACCAGGUUUUCUGAUAGUAACGAAGAACAAUGCGGGGCUGAGAUUUGAGAAGGCGAGAACCUGAAUGCAGACAAACCAUACAAUUAAAUUAAUGGUAUCCCUGAGAGAAACACAACAAGAGGGGAGGCCUUGGUACUUAUUUAAAAAUGUUCAUUAAGCUCCAAUGAUUGUUUGCUAUUCUCAUCUACAGUCAUGCUGAGUAAGCUACAGCUAAGUGCUUGUGGGCCAUAGAGAAAUCAAGGCGGAAAUGAGCUGGAAGCUUUCUUCUGGAUAGUUCUGAUAGUACCUGUAUUUUACAGCCUCUGGGGAAAAGAAGCCAUCAAUAGUCUUACUUAGUUGUGAAUCCCAUGAGAUGUGAAUAUGACCUGCCAACUAAGAUGUGCUUCCUGGUUCCAUGGUGACACGGCUACUA